rnacentral:lncRNA from 1 species
GGCAUUGUCCGGGUGCGCCGUCGUCGCACACAAGGACCUCACAUUCUUUUCCUAUUUCUGUCAUCUUUUGCCCUACAGAUGACACAUAAUAGAACAUGAUUUUAGACAAUAGUGGAGGCAAAUCACUAAACUUUAUAUGAAUCAAAAUUCACAUGUGAAACUAUCGAUUAGACAAGUGGUCCAAGUCGUUUCUUUGUACACUCGCGAACUAGGUCACCACCAUGAACCAGGCCGCAUGUGCGCACCUACACUGGCACAUGCGCUCCCUUCCAGUCCGUACAAGCCUAAGCCGUUCCUAAACAACCCCAAAAUUAUCCAAACUCAAACAAGCCGACAUAAACUUGUUCAAACUAGAUAGAUCUAAUGGGAAAUCGCAGGUUUGGAGGAGAAAAUUUUGAGAAUCAACGAUGAAGCUUACCUGGUAGGUCGCCUCGACUGUAGAGUACCUCCUCUCGAAGGCCAUGGCGACAGGAGGCGAAUCUAGGCCGGAGACAUGGUCGCGCGAGGCAGAAGAGUUGCUGGCUCAAGGCUGGUCAGGGCUGGAGGUCGUGGUCGCUCGAGGUAGGUUGGAGACUCGGGCGGUGGCGACGCAAGGCAACUCGAGGACGGCACAUACGACGACGCAACCAACUCGGCUAACAAGGCAACGGCAUGUGUCUUUGUUUCGCUGAGGGUAUAUGUGGUGUGAGUGGGAGAGGAUAUGGGAGAUUGGCGGAGCACGGAGUCCUAGCGAAAAAUUUGUUGGCGGGUGGUGCCACACGCGCGUGGUUGGAAAUUAGUGGGUCAGCUACGAAAAACGUGGACACUUUUUACAUCACAAACACUUACCGACACACGAUCUAAUGGUAAAGAAACCUAUGUCGACACAUUGUACGUCCACAAACCAUUAUGCAAUGCCGACAGAUAAAUUGUCAGAAGUAUAGAGUAACAUCAGUAAUCAGUGUGUCGGUAUAGUUUGUGACAAAAAGAAUGUCAGCGAUGCACACUUUUGCUGACAGAUGCAUGUUGCCCUUGUCGUGUCAUGGUGUAGUGCAUAUAUACAACACGAUUUGCAGUUUGUCAACUUUGUAACAAUUUGGUUGCAAUUAAACUAAGCAUCACAUAUUUGGGUAUCUAGAGACAAGAGCUAUCUAGGGCGUGUUUGGUUCCCGCAUUAGGCCGAACCACAUCGAGCUGGGCCAAAAAUAUUAUGGUUAGUUGCAUGUGGGGUGCGCUGGCUCGCAUCAACACGAACCUUAAAACAACACAGAGCCUGCUUUGCUGGAAACUCUCGAAUUGGUAGUUUCUGAAAGUGCUAGUUGUCGACUAGAGGGGAGGGGAGGGGGAGGGUGAAUAGGCAAUUGUUAUGAAAAACUUCAAACAGUAAAUGUGUUCGAAGUAAGGGGAAACGAAUGAGGAUGAGAUAGGGAUAACACUCAAAGAUCUAGGCAGGGCAUGCUGAGUGAUGAAGACAUUCAAACAACUAAAUCGUAGUCAUCAUACAAACAAAAGCAUAUCGAUUAUAAAUUAGAGCACUACAAAGACAAAUGCAGAUUGGAUGAAUGUAUUUGAUGAAAGUCUUCACACACAAGCAAUGACUUCAUAGUGCAUAAUUGUAAGUAAGGAGUGGAAGGAUAGAACCAGCUACUUGAUGAAGACUCACGAUUUGUUGGACCAGUUUCAGUUGCUGUGACAACUGUACGUAGGGAGGAUGAGAUUCAAACUGAGAAAACCUCAUCUUCACCUUGUUCCCGUUGAGCCAAGGUCACUUAGACCUCUCCCAAUCACUCAAGUAAAUCUUCGGGGUAGACUUUGGAAACCCGUACAAAUUCGAUCAUGUGGCGAUCCACAAUGAUUCUUGGAUGUUGUAGACCAUGACGCCUAACCGUCUGAAAGAUCACAGUCUUCAAGUGUAACAAGUCUUCUGUUCACUCAGAAUAGAAUAACUCCCGUAAUGCUCAAACACUCUGGCUCUAGGUGUUUUGUUUAUCCUUGCAAGAUAGCUCCCUCUCAAUGUCUACGAGCUGGGUUGCUCCAAAAUGAAAAUAACUGUAUCUAACUCUGAAUAAUCACCAACUUAUGGUGGACGGGGUUGGCUAUUUAUAGCCAAUCAACAACCCGACACGAUACGACCAAAACUGAUGAGGAAUCAAUAUCACCGUUACACCCACAACCCCUGUCGCUAUACAUAGUGGACCAAUCACUAGAGCUCGUGCAUGCCAGUUGAAUUACCAAGUACUUUCGUUUCAUGGAAAUCCUUCUAAUGUUCAUGGACUUAUGAUGCUGCCUAAAUUAGAUACUUUUGUUUUAUUUAUGAAUGAAGGACCUAGCAUGGACAAUAAGGAUGCCCAUUGGAGCGGGAUUAAGCAUGGAGAAGAAGGUGCACACUGGAGAAAGAACAAUGGAGUUUCUAGUGGUAAUUUUCGCACUUUAAAGCCAUCAUAAGGAGAGUAUAAAGGCUUGGAUGAAAUAUACAAGAUGCCACUUCAUAAAUUUCGUCCAUAGGCUACUAUUGGUGUCGCAUCACCUUAUUUUUGGGCCAGGUCCAAGGGGUCACGAAAUUCCCCUCUAUCCCACCAUAUAUAAAUCCCUCAGGGCGCCAUUUACACUUGGGUUUUGUUUAGAUUACAAGUUUGCCAUAGCUGCAACUUGGGCGUCCUUCGUUUGUGUUCUACGAUGAGACCAACACGUCACAUAACCCCACUUUCAUCAACAAUGCUUUCUUCUUACAUUCAAAAUAUCCUUAUUGCAAUUUCAGUUUCUUGCUUGUUCUUCGUUUGCGUGCAGGAAACAGACCCUUGUGGUUAGAUUGAUUGUGUUCCAGUGUGGUCAAUAACCUCUUGGAUUUGGUUUAGCAAUUGCUAAGGCGCAACUUCCUCACACUUUCGUAGUCGUAUCAUCAAAGUGUACUCCACCAUAUACGAUAGUCACAUCUCAUCGAAAGACGGGGACACCGUCACCUCUACCAAGUGGUAUCACAUUUCGAGGUUGCUCGGUAAGAUUUUACUAGUUUUUCAUAGUUUAGACCGCUGGCAUAUAGCACCAUCUUCAUCGUUGCCAUAUAGCACCACCAAACCGGAUACAUCACUGCUGCCAUAUACCACCACCACACCAGAUACAUCACCGCUGCCAUAUACCACCACCACAUAUCUGCCGUCACACCUAUCAGAGUCCACCUUGAUCACAUAUUCGCCACCAAUCCGUGUUCCACCACCCCUACAUACAUCUGCCACUAGUAUGAGUUCCACCAGAUUCAUAUCCUCCAUCGAUCCUAGUCUGAGUCUAGUGUUUGCUGAUUUGUUGUUAAUUUCCAAAUCACGCCAUACUACGUCUCGUGAUCAAGUUGGACUUGUUGGAAAUAUGCCCUAGAGGCACUAAUAAAGUGGUUAUUAUUAUAUUUCCUAGUACAUGAUAAUUUUCUAUUAUUCAUACUAUAAUUGUAUUGACCGGAAACCGUAAUACAUGUGUGAAUAUAUAGAUCACAAUGUGUCCCUAGUGAGCCUCUAGUUGGCUAGCUCGUUGAUCAAUAGAUGAUCAUGGUUUCCUGAUCAUGGACAUUGGAUGUCAUUGAUAAUGGGAUCACAUCAUUGGGGAAUGAUGUGAUGGACAAGACCCAAUCCUAAGCAUAGCACUAGAUCGUAUUGUUCGUCUGCUAAAGCUUUUCUAAUGUUAAGUAUAAUUUCCUUAGACCAUGAGACUGUGCAACUCCCGGAUACCGCAGGAGUGCUUUGGGUGUAUCAAACGUCACAACGUAACUGGGUUAUUGUAAAGGUGCACUACAAGUAUCUCCGAAAGUGUUUGUUGGGUUGGUACGAAUCGAGACUAGGAUUUGUCACUCCGUGUGAUGGAGAGGUAUCUUUGGGCCCACUCGAUAAUUCAUCAUCGUAAUGAGCUCAAUGUGACUAAGGUGUUAGCCACGGGAUGAUGUGUUAUGGAACGAGUAAAGAGACUUGCCGACAACGAGAUUGAACAAGGUAUAGGGAUACCGACGAUCGAAUCUCGGGCAAGUAUCAUACCGGUAGACAAAGGGAAUUGCAUACAUGAUUGAUUGAAUCCCCGACAUCGUAGUUCAUCUGAUGAGAUCAUCGUGGAACAUGCGGGAAACAACAUGGAUAUCGAGACCCCGUUGUUGGUAAUUGACCGGAGAGGGUACUCGGUCAUGUCUGCAUGGUUCCUGAACCCAUAGGGUCUACACGCUUAAGGUUCGAUGACGUUAGGGUUAUUAUGGGAAUAGUAUACGUGGUUACCUAAGGUUGUUCGGAGUCCUGCAUGAGAUCCCGGAUGUCACGAGGAGUUUCGGAAUAGUCUGGAGGUAAAGAUUAUUAUAUAGGAAGUGGCGUUUUGAUCACCGGAAGAGCUUCGUACAUCGUUGGUAAUGUACCGGGACCACCGGAAGGGUUUCGGGGGUCCAUCGAGAAGGGACACCUGCCUCGAAAGGCUAAGUGGGCCAAGAGUGGAAGGGAACCAACCCCUAGAUGGGCUGGUGCGCCUCCCACCUUAGCCGAAGGCGCAAGAGAGGGCCAAGGGGGGCAAACCCUAGGCGUGGGGGCUGCCUUGGGCACUGAUCGAGUGUAAGUACAGUGGGGUUUUUACGCCCAAACUGCGGGUUGUCGUGUUCUCCACAGGGAUCUAUAAAACCGAAGUAUGCAUUUGAAACACUCAAGAUGACAAGAAUAUAUGGGUUUCAUAGAGCUAAUUACUCACAAUAUUUUCUAACUCAAAUUAUGUGAACCAGAAAACGUUGAAAUAUCGCAGCUAAACAAUAUAGCACAAUAAUAAAAGAACUAGGAGCUCAGGUUAAGGAUGAGAUAUUUUCUAUGGUGAUGAUGUGCGUAUUCAAACAGGCCAAAAUGCUCGACUAAAGAAAAAGAAAACAAACAAAGGUAGGUUCAGAUUUUACUCACUUUCUUUUGGUAUUUUCGUUUUAACACAGAAACAAAAUACUAACACAAAGAAGCAUCGAUGAAUUAAAAAGACAUGAACACAUAUAUAACUAUCUAGCAUUUAACAGAGGAAGGAAACUGAAUUAUGUGACAGGAAAUAGAUGAUUCACAUCACAAACACACACAUACUAUAUAUAUAUCACACGAACUUGAUCUAACACGUGGACUAUAAAAUGGAACAAGUUCACAAGAUUGAACACGAACACAAGCUAGCGGAAUAGUAACUCAGAAAGUUAAAUCGCAAGACGAAAUAUUAUACAAAGCAACUAUGGCAUUAACUGAACAUAUAGUAUGUGAUAUUGUAUUACAAGUACGAAACUGAGAUUUCAAGAACUUAUCAAAUCUGAAUAUUAAAUGUCAUAAACGUCUAAAUUUUACAGAAAUUUUAGAGAGAAUAAGAGAAAUAACAUCAGCAACUAGUUGAAGGAGAGGAAAAGCUUCAGGUUAGGAGCAGCAGUAGAUCGAGGUAGAAGGUGCAGCGGCAGAUCGUGGGAAAUGGAGCAGCAGCAGAGACGAGGGGAAAGGGAGCAGCAACAACUUUAGGGGAGAAGAGUAGCAGGUCAAUAUAGAAGGACCAGCACGGGGGCAAUGGAGAGAGAGGAGCAGCAAGGGGGCAGUGGAGAGAGAGGAGCAACAAGGGGGCAGUGGAGAGAGAGGAGCAACAAGGGGGCAGCGGGUGCAAGGGAAGGGAAGAGCAGCAGCAGCAUGGGGGAUCGGCGUUGGUGAUGGAGGUGUGUGGCGUUGGUGGCUGGGUGGUGGUGCUGGUGUGGUGCGCAAGAGAUGGAUGCUGGUGGCGUUGUUGAUGGAGAUGGCUUGGAUGGAUGGCUGGGUUGCGGCGAUGGAUGGUGGGGCUGGUUGAUGGUGCAGAUGGUGCGGUGGAGUGGGUGAUUGGCGCGUAACCACGCCGGCCUGGCUGGGGCGGCGGCCGGAGGUGGAGAAGGAUGGGUGAGUGAAGAGGAAGAUGGAGGUGCGAGGACCGAAGGGGAUUGAAGGCUGCUCUAGGGAUUUUGACCCCUCACGACUGAUUUCCUCCUUUGUAAUUUGGCCCCUCUACUUUUCUUCUUUCUGCACAAGUUGAUCCUCCGCUUCUUUAGUUUGACCCCUCGGUCUCUUCUUUCCUU